rnacentral:lncRNA from 1 species
GCCUCCACCGCCUUCUUCCAGGAGGAGGGGCCGUGCGGCGCCUGCCCGGGGGCCCUCAGGCCGCAGGCGGGCGCGAGCUUCAGGGAACUUAGGGGGCUCCCGCCUCCCCGGCCACGCGAGCGGGAACAGUCUCCUCCACUCGGAGCGAUUAUAGAUCCAGACUCCUGUGCCUGACCACUGCCCAUGGCCAACUCUCUGCUGAUGACUGGACUUGACUACACAAGUUGUUGGCCAUCUUAAAACCACUCAAAGUUGACGGUCUCCUCUCCUGCCUCCUGCGGCUUCCAUUACCAUGGCAGAGACUGUGGUGUCUGAGGUGGUGUAGCGUACUGAAGCAAGGCUGUCUUGAAGAAGAGGAGACAACUCACAAUUCUACCACCUUUGUUGACCUCUUCUUCCCCCCAACUUAUUGCUGUAGAGGCUACCUGAGCUCAUUGUCCCUGGAGAUGGACCAAAUAGAAGAAUAAGCAGUGCCUGUGUGGCCCCAACUACAGAAGAUAAGAGGGCAUAGGAAAAGUUUUUCCUCUCUACAAGCCAAAAGUCGCAAGGCUAAUAUUUACUCCCCUGAUUCUCUCCUCCAGAGCCCACACCCUUCAUCACUACUGAUAAAGUUUCAAAUAUGUUUUUCAAAUCUGGCAUUCAUGGUUGCUACUGCACUGGAAUAAUGGUAACAACAGGCUGAUGAGAAUCUUAAGUGGCACUUACUCAGUGGAGUAAUUGGAAGCGGCAAUGGUUAUACAAAUGAAUGCCCCUCAGAGGGAAGAAGGAGAGAUUUGCCUUGAAACUGCGGCUGUAAAAAGUUAGUGCUGGACUCUUGUGUUUUCCUUUCCAUCACUCUCCUCACUCCUCCAGGGCACCCUUUUCUUCUGAAGGCCAACUUGUGGAAACCCCAGGAGCUAGCUACCAUGUUACAGGAGGCUGACCAUCAUCUGGACUCUCUCUUAUGUCAGACUGUGGAAUGUAAAUUUUGGAAGUGCCAGGAGCUAUAGUUUCUAUCAUGUAUACAAAACUUCUCUGAAGUGAGAAAGACUGCAAUUGACAUACCAAGAAGAGCACAGACAGGACACAAAGUUAACCUCCAGGUCAUGCAGACAGGCAAAGAACCUGGAGAGAGGCCUAUGUGGAGAGAAACCGAGGUCACCUUCAACAGCCAACACCAACUUGCCAGCUAUGUAAGUGAGCCAUCUUGAAAUGGAUCCCCCAGUCCCAGUUAAACCUUGAGAUGAUUGGUCAACAUCUUGAAUGCAAUCUUAUGAGAGACCAUGAGCCAGAGCUACCCAGCCAAGCCACUCUUGAAUUCCUAACCCACAGAGAUAAUAAAAUGUUUACAUUUUUAAG